GGCCCGCUGGUCUAGUGGUAUGAUUCUCGCUUCGGGUGCGAGAGAUCCCGGGUUCAAUUCCCGGGUGGGCUCA